UACAUUUACUACUGUAAGUCGCUCUGGAUAAGAGCGUCUGCUAAAUGACUAAAA
rfam:Salmo salar isolate Sally breed double haploid chromosome ssa15, whole genome shotgun sequence.